rnacentral:rRNA from 1 species
GGUUAAGCGACUAAGCGUACACGGUGGAUGCCCUGGCAGUCAGAGGCGAUGAAGGACGUGCUAAUCUGCGAUAAGCGUCGGUAAGGUGAUAUGAACCGUUAUAACCGGCGAUUUCCGAAUGGGGAAACCCAGUGUGAUUCGUCACACUAUCAUUAACUGAAUCCAUAGGUUAAUGAGGCGAACCGGGGGAACUGAAACAUCUAAGUACCCCGAGGAAAAGAAAUCAACCGAGAUUCCCCCAGUAGCGGCGAGCGAACGGGGAGCAGCCCAGAGCCUGAAUCAGUGUGUGUGUUAGUGGAAGCGUCUGGAAAGGCGCGCGAUACAGGGUGACAGCCCCGUACACAAAAAUACACAUACUGUGAGCUCGAUGAGUAGGGCGGGACACGUGGUAUCCUGUCUGAAUAUGGGGGGACCAUCCUCCAAGGCUAAAUACUCCUGACUGACCGAUAGUGAACCAGUACCGUGAGGGAAAGGCGAAAAGAACCCCGGCGAGGGGAGUGAAAAAGAACCUGAAACCGUGUACGUACAAGCAGUGGGAGCACAGAGCAAUCUGUGUGACUGCGUACCUUUUGUAUAAUGGGUCAGCGACUUAUAUUCUGUAGCAAGGUUAACCGAAUAGGGGAGCCGAAGGGAAACCGAGUCUUAACUGGGCGUUAAGUUGCAGGGUAUAGACCCGAAACCCGGUGAUCUAGCCAUGGGCAGGUUGAAGGUUGGGUAACACUAACUGGAGGACCGAACCGACUAAUGUUGAAAAAUUAGCGGAUGACUUGUGGCUGGGGGUGAAAGGCCAAUCAAACCGGGAGAUAGCUGGUUCUCCCCGAAAGCUAUUUAGGUAGCGCCUCGUGAAUUCAUCUCCGGGGGUAGAGCACUGUUUCGGCAAGGGGGUCAUCCCGACUUACCAACCCGAUGCAAACUGCGAAUACCGGAGAAUGUUAUCACGGGAGACACACGGCGGGUGCUAACGUCCGUCGUGAAGAGGGAAACAACCCAGACCGCCAGCUAAGGUCCCAAAGUCAUGGUUAAGUGGGAAACGAUGUGGGAAGGCCCAGACAGCCAGGAUGUUGGCUUAGAAGCAGCCAUCAUUUAAAGAAAGCGUAAUAGCUCACUGGUCGAGUCGGCCUGCGCGGAAGAUGUAACGGGGCUAAACCAUGCACCGAAGCUGCGGCAGCGACGCUUAUGCGUUGUUGGGUAGGGGAGCGUUCUGUAAGCCUGCGAAGGUGUGCUGUGAGGCAUGCUGGAGGUAUCAGAAGUGCGAAUGCUGACAUAAGUAACGAUAAAGCGGGUGAAAAGCCCGCUCGCCGGAAGACCAAGGGUUCCUGUCCAACGUUAAUCGGGGCAGGGUGAGUCGACCCCUAAGGCGAGGCCGAAAGGCGUAGUCGAUGGGAAACAGGUUAAUAUUCCUGUACUUGGUGUUACUGCGAAGGGGGGACGGAGAAGGCUAUGUUGGCCGGGCGACGGUUGUCCCGGUUUAAGCGUGUAGGCUGGUUUUCCAGGCAAAUCCGGAAAA